rnacentral:rRNA from 1 species
UACGUAGGGGGCGAGCGUUGUCCGGAAUCAUUGGGCGUAAAGCGCGUGUAGGCGGCUCGGUAAGUCCGGUGUGAAACCUUGGGGCUCAACCCCAAGCCUGCACUGGAUACUGUCGAGCUUGAGUCCGGGAGGGGAGAGCGGAAUUCCUAGUGUAGCGGUGAAAUGCGCAGAUAUCAGGAGGAACACCGGUGGCGAAGGCGGGAUCCUGGGCCAGUACUGACGCUGAGGAGCGAAAGCGUGGGGAGCAAACAGG